UGGGGAAUAUUGCACAAUGGGGGAAACCCUGAUGCAGCGACGCCGCGUGAAGGAAGAAGUAUCUCGGUAUGUAAACUUCUAUCAGCAGGGAAGAAAAUGACGGUACCUGACUAAGAAGCCCCGGCUAACUACGUGCCAGCAGCCGCGGUAAUACGUAGGGGGCAAGCGUUAUCCGGAUUUACUGGGUGUAAAGGGAGCGUAGACGGAGCAGCAAGUCUGAUGUGAAAGACGGGGGCUCAACCCCCGGACUGCAUUGGAAACUGUUGAUCUUGAGUACCGGAGAGGUAAGCGGAAUUCCUAGUGUAGCGGUGAAAUGCGUAGAUAUUAGGAGGAACACCAGUGGCGAAGGCGGCUUACUGGACGGUAACUGACGUUGAGGCGCGAAAGCGUGGGGAGCAAACA
rnacentral:rRNA from 1 species